rnacentral:rRNA from 1 species
AUUGAACGCUGGCGGCAGGCUUAACACAUGCAAGUCGAACGAGCGGCGGACGGGUGAGUAAUGUCUGGGAAACUGCCUGAUGGAGGGGGAUAACUACUGGAAACGGUAGCUAAUACCGCAUACCAUCAGAUGUGCCCAGAUGGGAUUCGCUAGUAGGUGGGGUAACGGCUCACCUAGGCGAAGAUCCCUAGCUGGUCUGAUAGGAUGACCAGCCACACUGGAACUGAGACACGGGCCAGACUCCUACGUGAGGCAGCAGUGGGGAAUAUUGCACAAUGGGCGCAAGCCUGAUGCAGCCAUGCCGCGUGUGUGAAGAAGGCCUUCGGGUUGUAAAGCACUUUCAGCGAGGAGGCGUUACUCGCAGAAGAAGCACCGGCUAACUCCGUGCCAGCAGCCGCGGUAAUUC